CGCAGAGCCGGUGGCUAUCUACCGGGGGGUCCUGCGGCCUCGGUGCCACGGAGCCCCUCCACCGAUCCCCCGCCCCCGCGACGGGGGGGGGGGCCCCCGCCGCAAGAUUUGAGGGGGGCUUUUGCAGCUUUAGAUAUACUCAUAAUUUUAAGGCAUUGCAUAGAAAAUUUUAAUUAUUGCAUUUCUUGGCAAUGGCGAAACUUUCGACAACGGAUCUUUUGGUUCUCGAAUCGAUUAGCAACGUACCGGAAAGCAUCAAAUCAUGUGACGCGCAUUGUGCCCGGCAUCAUUCAAUCUUUGAUGCCACCUUGAGCCCUUUGUCAUUCCUAAAGGCCUGCCCUUGUGAGGGGGACGACAUUCUGCCGCCUUCUUGAAAUCUUGACCGGGAAGGGUUUGAAAUCUGGAGGGUCUUGCUUGACGACCUUUAUUGAAGCCUGCUCCUCUGACAGGAAUUAAAGGGACCUGCUCUGCUUAUGCUUGACGUGAAAAAAUAUUUCUGCGAGAGGAGUCUCUCACUGUUUGCUCUGGAUCCUGCUGAGGACCGUCUCAUACAAGACAAUGGCCACUUGGCCUACAAACCUUGACCUCAAAUCGGGUGAGACUACCCGCUGAACUUAAGCAUAUCAAUAAGCGGAGGAA
rnacentral:sRNA from 1 species